rfam:Phytophthora infestans T30-4 supercont1.45 genomic scaffold, whole genome shotgun sequence.
GGGCGCUUAGCUCAAAUGGUAGAGCGCCCGCUUCGCAUGCGGGGGGUAGGGGGCAGUGUCCA